AUACUUACCUGGCAAGGGAGAUACCGUGAUCAAGAAGGCGGUUCACCCAGGGCGAGGCUCAGCCAUUGCACUCCGGCUGUGCUGACCCCUGCGAAUUUCCCAAAUGUGGAAAUCUCGAUUGCAUAAUUUAUGGUAUUGGGGGAUUGCGUUCGCGCUCUCCCCUG
rnacentral:snRNA from 8 species